GUGAUUCUGUCGAGACGGGCUGAUCCGCCUUUAAAGUUGGAUUGCAGCGUUAAAACUUUGCAGAUGUUGACAUCGUCACAGUGUCAAACCCUUUCAUCCUCUUCAGGCAAUUUCAAAAUAAAGCUUCUAGCAGUCAAAUCCUCGCACCCAACCUCCCCUCGUCAUGUCUCCUAAUUAGUCUCUCCUCUAAACACCACAGACUCUAAUUCAAGCUCCGAAAGGUUUCCUCAGUGCCUGUUACCCGUCGUACAGCUUCCGGGUUCAUGUCCGCUGUCUCCGCCCACCAGAGUGACGUCACCAUCCCCCGGGGCAACGUGACUCCUGUAUGUCCAGCGUCCUCCACUACCGUGUCCUUUUCCGUCCAGGAGCAUCCAUGUGCCCUGACUUCUGUAGCCACACACGGGCAGUAUUUUUGAAUGCAGGGAUAUAAGCAAACAGCCUCCUGGAUGGAGACAACAGGCCUCUGACCUGGAUGUCAUUCGGUGUCAGUCAGCAUCGGAAACAGUGCACUGCGCUAAUUGAGUGGUUUGGUCCAACUCUGCUGCAAUCAGAGCCAUCUGAGGCAUUCUCUGUUAAAGUCCGUCACCUCCUUCGAGUCCUCUCCAUCUUUUCCACUCUGCUGGCACCGAAACCAGAAGCUGCACAGAGGCAUCGGUACAAGUGUCCCCGUCCUGGCAACCCCAGCCUCACUGACAAGAAUGCAUCUAUUCUCUGGCUCCACUCCACCAAGAGUGGAUGAGUAAGAGCGGCCUGCAGAAACAGCUGUUUAGGGAGUGAUCAAAAGAGGGUGAGAGGCUUCUUUGAUUACUCUCUCUUUGUUCACCUUCCUCUCAAACUUUUCUAUUCACUGAGGCCUGUGAGUGGGCAGCAAGCCAAGGGAAUUCACAAGGCUUUACUUGUAUCUAGUUGUAUUUCAAAUCCAUAUGCUGCAGCAAAGUUGCCACCAAGAUUCAUUAAAAUUAUAAUAUUUGCA
ensembl:lncRNA